rnacentral:rRNA from 1 species
GAUAAACGCUGGCGGCGUGCCUAAUACAUGCAAGUCGAGCGAACGGACGAGAAGCUUGCUUCUCUGAUGUUAGCGGCGGACGGGUGAGUAACACGUGGAUAACCUACCUAUAAGACUGGGAUAACUUCGGGAAACCGGAGCUAAUACCGGAUAAUAUUUUGAACCGCAUGGUUCAAAAGUGAAAGACGGUCUUGCUGUCACUUAUAGAUGGAUCCGCGCUGCAUUAGCUAGUUGGUAAGGUAACGGCUUACCAAGGCAACGAUGCAUAGCCGACCUGAGAGGGUGAUCGGCCACACUGGAACUGAGACACGGUCCAGACUCCUACGGGAGGCAGCAGUAGGGAAUCUUCCGCAAUGGGCGAAAGCCUGACGGAGCAACGCCGCGUGAGUGAUGAAGGUCUUCGGAUCGUAAAACUCUGUUAUUAGGGAAGAACAUAUGUGUAAGUAACUGUGCACAUCUUGACGGUACCUAAUCAGAAAGCCACGGCUAACUACGUGCCAGCAGCCGCGGUAAUACGUAGGUGGCAAGCGUUAUCCGGAAUUAUUGGGCGUAAAGCGCGCGUAGGCGGUUUUUUAAGUCUGAUGUGAAAGCCCACGGCUCAACCGUGGAGGGUCAUUGGAAACUGGAAAACUUGAGUGCAGAAGAGGAAAGUGGAAUUCCAUGUGUAGCGGUGAAAUGCGCAGAGAUAUGGAGGAACACCAGUGGCGAAGGCGACUUUCUGGUCUGUAACUGACGCUGAUGUGCGAAAGCGUGGGGAUCAAACAGGAUUAGAUACCCUGGUAGUCCACGCCGUAAACGAUGAGUGCUAAGUGUUAGGGGGUUUCCGCCCCUUAGUGCUGCAGCUAACGCAUUAAGCACUCCGCCUGGGGAGUACGACCGCAAGGUUGAAACUCAAAGGAAUUGACGGGGACCCGCACAAGCGGUGGAGCAUGUGGUUUAAUUCGAAGCAACGCGAAGAACCUUACCAAAUCUUGACAUCCUUUGACAACUCUAGAGAUAGAGCUUUCCCCUUCGGGGGACAAAGUGACAGGUGGUGCAUGGUUGUCGUCAGCUCGUGUCGUGAGAUGUUGGGUUAAGUCCCGCAACGAGCGCAACCCUUAAGCUUAGUUGCCAUCAUUAAGUUGGGCACUCUAAGUUGACUGCCGGUGACAAACCGGAGGAAGGUGGGGAUGACGUCAAAUCAUCAUGCCCCUUAUGAUUUGGGCUACACACGUGCUACAAUGGACAAUACAAAGGGCAGCGAAACCGCGAGGUCAAGCAAAUCCCAUAAAGUUGUUCUCAGUUCGGAUUGUAGUCUGCAACUCGACUACAUGAAGCUGGAAUCGCUAGUAAUCGUAGAUCAGCAUGCUACGGUGAAUACGUUCCCGGGUCU